CACGUAGGGGGCAAGCGUUGUCCGGAUUUAUUGGGCGUAAAGAGCUCGUAGGCGGUGUGUCACGUCGGCCGUGAAAACCUGCAGCUUAACUGUGGGCGUGCGGUCGAUACGGGCAUCACUGGAGUUCGGCAGGGGAGACUGGAAUUCCUGGUGUAGCGGUGAAAUGCGUAGAUAUCAUUUGGAACGCCAAUGGUGAAAACAGGUAGCUGGGGCUGUGCUGACACUGAGACACGAAAGCCAGGGGAGCAAACGGG
rnacentral:rRNA from 1 species